UACCUCCUGGCAGUGGUCAAGGAGACACCUGAUUGGUGGUGUUGCUCUUAUAUCUGUCUGGGGCAAAGCAGACGCACAGUCCUUAGUUCAUCCUAGCUUGAUGCCUGUGAUGAUAGCCAGCUGUUUCAUGCCUGGGGCACAUUA
ensembl:snoRNA